rnacentral:piRNA from 1 species
AAUUUUGAGAUAUUGGUUCUGGGCCC